AGCACCCUCAGGUCUGAGGCGCCGAGGCCGUUUGCACUUCCUCUGCACUUGAAGCUGAGACGGAACGGCUCCUCGGCUGAAAGGGUACCAAUGGGUGUGCAGGCCCUGACGAUUAUUCGCGUGCAAACGGCCAGGCCACUGGGUCAGAUAAGAGUCACAGCUAUGCUUUCCUGCGAGUAUUUUCGGCAAUUAAAAAUUCAGAAUUAAUAUUUUAAAGACUUGACUUCUAUGGCAAACCUUAUAAUUGUUUGCAACCUGCUUCAUUUCAUACAUUAUGUGCUGUGGGGUGGCUCUUGGCCCGUGAGCUGUAUAUACAGGGCCUUUCUCUUGAAAAAUGCAUUUGCUGUCUAAGAUAAAAUGCUGUAGAUUUUCUGUUCCCUUGAGGAUUAUUGCACCAGAGAGAAGGUUUUGCCCGAAUACCAUGGCUGUGAUAUGAGAAUCUCUUAUAGGAGAGGAGUGAGGAGUGGCAGUAACAUUUCUCGAGAGUUUGCUCUGUCCUGCGGACCUGCACCCUGAGCUAUACCUGUAGUUCUUGAAGCAACUCUAUGGCAAAGCCUAUGGAAAUGGGUGAAAAAGUCAAAUGAACUGAUAUUACAUUAUCACAUUUCAAGCAUUCCUGGGCAUGUUUUCAAGAUCUUUUUCACUUUAGGCCCUCUUAUUUGGAUUCUGGGAUAUCUGGAGAUAAAUCAGAAAAGUGAAUCCCAAAAAAGUGGAUUUUCUUUUAUUUUGGAGAAAAGAAGCAUUUUUGAGGACCUACAGUGGACCAACAGUGAUACGUUAUACCAUGUUAUUCCAUUUUUUUCUUCUCAACAACUGAGCCAAAUAAUAUUAUCCUCACUUUAUAGAAACUGUAAGACUGCUUAUUUGCUUGCACAGUGCUACACACAACACAGGUCUUAAGUAAUAAAGUCAAGAAUUAAACUUUUUUUUUUUUAAGGUUUUUUAAACCUGCAAGAUCAAUGUUC